GAUUUCUGUACACUCCUGGACUUCAUCUCAUAUUUAUACAGGUCUCAGAAGAAUUUAUGCAAAACCAAGAUGACUUUCACUUCCUAUUUAAACACUCAUUAUCCUUCUUCAGGCUACCUCAAGGUGCAAAGUCAUCCCUCUAAAUUUCUCCACAAUGACACCCUACUUUUUGAGUCUCAUUAUGCUGGCUGCCUUCUCCAAAGGAGGCCUCUCCCAGGUAGUCCUGACCCAGUCAGAUCCAGUGCUGAAGAAACCCGGAGAAGCCCAUAAACUGACUUGCGCUGUCACUGGAUUCGAUGUUAACAACUACAAUAUGUAUUGGAUCAGACAGAAACCUGACCAAGGACUGGAAUGGAUUGUUUACUAUUAUUCAUCUAGUAGCAAUGCUUAUUCACCAACAAUCCAAGGACGAUUUACUGCCUCCAAAGACAGUUCCAACUUCUAUCUGCAAAUGAACAACCUAAAAGCUGAGGACACGGCUGUCUAUUACUGUGCAAGAGACACAGUGAAAUAG